UUUUCGACAUUCUCGCCACACUAUACAUCUUUCACGACGAUCUCCUUCUCCUUCCCAUGUACAUAGUAUCAAGAAGGAGAAAAGGCCGCAUGAACCUUCUCCUUCUCCAUCUUCAAAUUUUUUGAGGGACUCUAUCUCUGGAUUAUCUCAGCAACGACGACUCGAUGACUACGAGUGCAAAUUCAAAGAAAUCGACCGCCAACUUGUCCGACUUCAGGUGCA
rnacentral:lncRNA from 1 species